rnacentral:rRNA from 1 species
CAGUAGCUGGUCUGAGAGGACGAUCAGCCACACUGGGACUGAGACACGGCCCAGACUCCUACGGGAGGCAGCAGUGGGGAAUUUUGGACAAUGGGCGAAAGCCUGAUCCAGCAAUGCCGCGUGUGUGAAGAAGGCCUUCGGGUUGUAAAGCACUUUUGUCCGGAAAGAAAUCGCACUUACUAAUACUAGGUGUGGAUGACGGUACCGGAAGAAUAAGGACCGGCUAACUACGUGCCAGCAGCCGCGGUAAUACGUAGGGUCCAAGCGUUAAUCGGAAUUACUGGGCGUAAAGCGUGCGCAGGCGGUUGUGCAAGACCGAUGUGAAAUCCCCGAGCUUAACUUGGGAAUUGCAUUGGUGACUGCACGGCUAGAGUGUGUCAGAGGGGGGGUAGAAUUCCACGUGUAGCAGUGAAAUGCGUAGAGAUGUGGAGGAAUACCGAUGGCGAAGGCAGCCCCCUGGGAUAACACUGACGCUCAUGCACGAAAGCGUGGGGGAGCAAACAGGAUUAGAUACCCUGGGUAGUCCACGCCCUAAACGAUGUCAACUAGUUGUUGGGGAUUCAUUUCCUUUAGUAACGUAGCUAACGCGUGAAGUUGACCGCCUGGGGGAGUACGGUUCGCAGAUUAAAACUUCAAAGGAAUGACGGGACCGCACAAGCGGUGGAAUGAUGUGCAUGACUUCCGAUGCACGCGAAAAUCGUACCGUACCAUGACAUGC